rnacentral:lncRNA from 1 species
CAACCCCUAGACUAACCUAGAACACAUCCCUUCAUCAACCCUAUCAAAGGACCCAACACUCUUUAUCAACACUUUAAAAAAAUCUUCACGCCAAGCCAUCGCCGGGAUUCCCAAACACCUUAACCAAACGAACUUCUCUUUUACAACUGCCAUAUGAGACCAAGGCUUUAAAGAAGAAAAAAACUCCUCACACCACUUUUCUUCCACUUGCAAAAAGUCUUUUGUAUCUUCCUUGGAAACAAUUUUCAACAAAAAAAUCAU